CCGUAGCUCUUCGUCCCACGCACGCCGCCAUGCCUCACGCCGGUCGAUCCCACGCCGUCCCACCGCCGCCCACGCCGCCCGGAGCUGCCGUCGGUCUAUUCCCACGCCGCCCUGCCUCUGACCCCAUGCCGCCCUCCCUCUACCGCGCCGCUCCAGCGCCGCCCAUCGCCGUCCGGCCUCUCCAUCCCCGGCCCGACGCGCUCGUGCUCUCUCUUCGGAUGGCCCCCUCUCUCCUCAGCUACAUCCAGCACAGCUGCCGCCUCCUCCCUGGCCCGACCUCCCCCAUCUCCACCAUGAAGGUACACGCAGCGGCGGCGGCGAGCUGGAUCUGGGCAGCAUGCUGUUGGGCAAGGGCAUUGAUACGACUGAGGUACAGCUCUUCCCUCUCGUCCUUGCCUCCCUCCUUCUAUCCCUCUCUCCCCUGGAGGCGUAUUGCGAAGGUGGGCUGGCGGGGAAAAGAGUGCUCCGCCGGUGGGGAAUGGGGAGCUCCGCCGGUGGGGAGCGAGUAGAUGUUCCAGUGGACAAGGCACCUCAUGCUUUUUUUCUUCACCGGUUCUCUGUUUUGCCGUGUACUGCUGCUAGUUAGUCUAAUUGUGAGAAGUUGAGGUUUAUGAGAAGUAUUGUGGUAGCAAUACAAACUGAUUUUAGAAGUUCAGCAGUUGUGUGCAAAUUAUGUUUGUUUCCAUUGCAAAUUUUGUGGUAGCUAUAUGUAUUAAUCUUUUGUUUGUUUCCAUUGGUCAUUUUGUUCACCUUUCACUAAGAGUCAUGUUUUCGGUUUUGCCCUUCUUACGCUUUUGUCCAAGAUAGAUUAUUUUUUGCUAUACCAAGAAGUUCCUUAGAUUUGUUUUUGUUUUGUGCUUAGUCUGCCAUGAUGUUCUUAGUCUGCCACCAUGUUUACUAUCUCUUUGUGCUUCAGAAGCGGAUUGUUCACAUGUAAAAACUUUCCUUUUACAUAAGAUGAUUGUUCAAGUGCGAAGCUAAGCUACCACAGAUUAAUAAAAGUGAUAUAGGCAAAAGCACGUGUGAGUGUUGCCAAUGGAGGCAUUGGUUCGCUAGGACAGAUAUAGAUAGAUUAGUUCAUAAAGCAAGUGAUACUGAAUAUUAAAAAAAAGGGUUGUGUACGAUCUUCUAAUGUGUUGUUUUAUCAGCGAUGUACUCAUACAGUGUGUCUUUUGUUGGAGGAAAAAUGGCAAGUGGAAACGAAAAAGAUAGAGAUGGUGCGGUCAUGGAGGAGGAACAACUGGAAGUGGUAGAGUAUGAACUACAGAGAAGUAGGAUCAUUGAGGAAAAUGAUAAAGGGUUGGUAGCGGCACGAGCAACAAGAGCCUCGAUGCAGAAAGAUAUGGAAGCAAACCAAGCCCAAAAAAGAAAAGAAAGCGAUUACUCGUGAGCUUGAUGCUGAAGGUAGUCAAAAGAAAGGUGGAAGGAAAAUUACUUAAAAGGCUAACAUAUAUGCAAGGCUGCAUCAACCCAAAAUCCAUAUUCCACUUAAUGUGAAUGGCCAGCCUGUUGGGCCAGAUGCAACCGAAUUUACCAAUUUCAUUGGUACUUUGGUCAGGAAACACAAAAUGGAAGGAUUGGAAGUAAGAUUUAAAGAGGCACAAGUUUGAUGUUGUGCUGACUGAUGCAGAACUUAUGAAAAGACAUGACAGCAGAAUUAGUGAAGCUGACUUGAAGACCCUUAUUAUUUAUUGGAGAUCUUCGGUAUUUGAAGUUGCUGUCAGGUUGUGUAGGAAAGACAAAGAGGACCAAGAAGGAACCAUGAUGCUGUCAGUUUGCAUGAACUAGAUAUCCACCGUAAUGGAGCAAAACAAUGCAUCUUGUAGCUAUCAUAUUGUAAAGCAUAUCUUGUGUAACAGAGCAUGCAUUGAAUCGAUGGACACGCAUCUAUGAUUUUGUAAACCUAUCUGGUGUUUCGGCCACUUAGACAAAUGUUUCCUCUUAUUUAGUUACCUUUAUUAUCGGAAUUACUAGUGUUAUUUUUGUUUGCUUCUGGUUUAAUAUUUUCAAAGUACA